UACGUAGGGGACAAGCGUUGUCCGGAUUUAUUGGGCGUAAAGAGCGCGUAGGCGGUUGUUCAAGUCGAGUGUGAAAGCCCCCGGCUCAACUGGGGAGGGUCAUUCGAUACUGAUCGACUUGAAGGCAGGAGGGGGAAGUGGAAUUCCCGGUGUAGUGGUGAAAUGCGUAGAUAUCGGGAGGAACACCAGUGGCGAAGGCGACUUCCUGGCCUGUUCUUGACGCUGAGGCGCGAAAGCUAGGGGAGCAAACGGG
rnacentral:rRNA from 1 species